UACGUAGGGGGCAAGCGUUGUCCGGAUUUACUGGGUGUAAAGGGCGCGCAGGCGGGAUAGCAAGUCAGAGGUGAAAUCCUACAGCUUAACUGUAGAACUGCCUUUGAUACUGUUAUUCUUGAGUUCGGGAGAGAGAGACGGAAUUCCAGGUGUAGUGGUGAAAUACGUAGAUAUCUGGAAGAACACCAGUUGCGAAGGCGGUCUCUUGGUCCGAUACUGACGCUGAGGCGCGAAAGCGUGGGGAGCAAAC
rnacentral:rRNA from 1 species